rnacentral:rRNA from 1 species
UACGGAGGGUGCGAGCGUUAAUCGGAAUUACUGGGCGUAAAGGGCGCGUAGGCGGUGAAGUAAGUCGGGUGUGAAAGCCCCGGGCUCAACCUGGGAACUGCAUCCGAUACUGUUUCGCUAGAGUAUGGUAGAGGGAAGCGGAAUUCCGGGUGUAGCGGUGAAAUGCGUAGAUAUCCGGAGGAACACCAGUGGCGAAGGCGGCUUCCUGGACCAAUACUGACGCUGAGGCGCGAAAGCGUGGGGAUCAAACAGG